rnacentral:rRNA from 1 species
GCCGAAAAUCUAGCCCAAUUUUUUCUAAUGGAAUCCCAUCCACCUUUAAUUUACAAAAUUAAAACAUUCUUAAAAUUCAGUAAAGGCGAUUGAAAAAUUUUAUGGAGCCAUAAAUAUAGUACCGCAAGGGAAAGAUGAAAUAGAAAUUAAACAACUUCUUAAGCACAAAAAAGUAGAGAUUACCUCUCGUACCUUUUGCAUCAUGGUUUAACUAGUCCAAUCAAGCAAAACGACUUAAAGUUUGACCUCCCGAAACUAAGCGAGCUACUUCAAGGCAGCUUUUUGAGCCAACCCGUCUCUGUUGCAAAAGAGUGGGAAGACCUUCAAGUAGGGGUGACAGACCUAACGAGCUUAGUGAUAGCUGGUUACUCAAGAAAAGAAUUUUAGUCCAACCUAAAGUUUAUUUAAUUAAUUUAAAUGCCCCUUUAACUUUAGAGCAAUUCAAAUAAGGUACAGCCUAUUUGAAACAGGAUACAACCUUUGCCAACGGGUAAACAAAAUGAUUCAACAUAACUAAGUGGGCCUAAGAGCAGCCACCUUUAAAAUAGCGUCAAAGCUUAAUUGUGCCUUCAUCUAAUAUCUAACAAACCAGUGAACCCUUCCUCAAUAUUGAGUACAUCUAUAAAAAUAUAGAAGAUUUUAUGUUAAAACUAGUAACAAGAAGAAGACCUUCUCUUAAAUGUAAGUGUAAAUCAGAAAGGACACACCACUGAUAAUUAACAUCUAUGAGCCCAAAGUAGUAACUUAACAAGAAAACCCUACUUAAUAGAGUGUUGACCUAACACAAGAGCAUUUCAAGAAAGAUUAAAAGAAAAAGAAGGAACUCGGCAAAUAUUAACCUCGCCUGUUUACCAAAAACAUCGCCUCUUGAUAAAAUAUAAGAGGUCUAGCCUGCCCAGUGACUCUGUUUAACGGCCGCGGUAUCCUAACCGUGCGAAGGUAGCGUAAUCACUUGUUCUUUAAAUGAGGACUAGUAUGAAUGGCACCACGAGGGUUAUACUGUCUCCUUUCUCUAAUCAGUGAAACUAAUCAUCCCGUGAAGAAGCGGGAAUGAAACUAUAAGACGAGAAGACCCUAUGGAGCUUUAAACAAAAUAACAAUUGCUUAUUUAUUACUAAAUUCCAGAAAUUUAAAUAUUAUCAAAGCACUCUGGUUAUUAGUUUUAGGUUGGGGUGACCGCGGAGUAAAAAUUAACCUCCACAUUGAAAGGAUUCUUUUCCUAAGCAAAAAGCUACGACUUUAUGCAUCAAUAAAUUGACAUUAAUUGACCCAAUAUUUUGAUCAACGAACCAAGUUACCCUAGGGAUAACAGCGCAAUCCACUUCAAGAGCCCCUAUCGACAAGUGGGUUUACGACCUCGAUGUUGGAUCAGGGUGUCCCGGUGGUGCAGCCGCUACCAAAGGUUCGUUUGUUCAACGAUUAAAACCCUACGUGAUCUGAGUUCAGACCGGAGUAAUCCAGGUCAGUUUCUAUCUAUAAGGAGCUUUUCCCAGUACGAAAGGAUCGGAAAAGCAUGGCCAAUACCCAAUGCAAGCCAUCACUACUAAUUUAUGCUUUAAACUUAAUUAACAAUUAGCCCAAAACUUUCCUCUAGAAAAGAGAA